rnacentral:rRNA from 1 species
AAAUAGAUACCCCCGGGUAGUCCACGCCGUAAACGAUGAGUGCUAAGUGUUAGGGGGUUUCCACCCCUUAGUGCUGCAGCUAACGCAUUAAGCACUCCGCCUGGGGAGUACGGUCGCAAGACUGAAACUCAAAGGAAUUGACGGGGGCCCGCACAAGCGGUGGAGCAUGUGGUUUAAUUCGAAGCAACGCGAAGAACCUUACCAGGUCUUGACAUCCCGCUGACCGCUAUGGAGACAUAGCCUUCCCUUCGGGGACAGCGGUGACAGGUGGUGCAUGGUUGUCGUCAGCUCGUGUCGUGAGAUGUUGGGUUAAGUCCCGCAACGAGCGCAACCCUUGUCCUUAGUUGCCAUCAUUCAGUUGGGCACUCUAAGGAGACUGCCGUACAAAUACGGAGGAAGGUGGGGAUGACGUCAAAUCAUCAUGCCCCUUAUGACCUGGGCUACACACGUGCUACAAUGGACGGUACAAACGGUCGCGAAGUCGCGAGACGGAGCCAAUCCGAAAAAACCGUUCUCAGUUCGGAUUGCAGG